UAGGGAAUCUUCGGCAAUGGGGGCAACCCUGACAGAGCAACGCCGCGUGAGUGAAGAAGGUUUUCGGAUCGUAAAGCUCUGUUGUAAGAGAAGAACGUGUGUGAGAGUGGAAAGUUCACACAGUGACGGUAACUUACCAGAAAGGGACGGCUAACUACGUGCCAGCAGCCGCGGUAAUACGUAGGUCCCGAGCGUUGUCCGGAUUUAUUGGGCGUAAAGCGAGCGCAGGCGGUUUAAUAAGUCUGAAGUUAAAGGCAGUGGCUUAACCAUUGUUCGCUUUGGAAACUGUUAAACUUGAGUGCAGAAGGGGAGAGUGGAAUUCCAUGUGUAGCGGUGAAAUGCGUAGAUAUAUGGAGGAACACCGGUGGCGAAAGCGGCUCUCUGGUCUGUAACUGACGCUGAGGCUCGAAAGCGUGGGGAGCAAACAGG
rnacentral:rRNA from 1 species